AGAAGGUGGUGGUCGUCGUUUGGGUUGUGUCAAGAGAAUUGGAAAGUCAGACGAUGUUGACUCUGGUGCUCUCGAUCCCAGAAACCGUCUUCGUUGGACCGCUAGGAACGAAAAUGUUUGCCCGAUUAGAAGGGGAAUGGUACGGUACUCAGGCACUAGGAGAGUACUUCAGUGCGCAAAGAAGGGCAGCAACAAGAAUAAACUGAAUAAUUGAAUUAGAAACUGAAUGACUUGGACACUGGAGGACAAAUCACUGGAGAUAUGGAAGAACUAUUCUCUGAGCUGUUAAAAAGAGAAACCCCAGUAAAUCUAUUGAAGAGGAGAUAUAUGGUGACAUAUUUUUUUUUAAAGAAAUAUUGUGUUUGUUUGUAAUACCUGAUCAAUCAUGUGCUCUCUCGAAACCAACCUUAAUGCCAAGGUCUCUCAGAACAAACCCUAAUAGCAAGAAGGUAAGCAAAUGGGUAAAAGAGUGAGAGUUUUGGAAGUACGCAGCCUGUUGUAAGUGCUGAGGCGCAAUUUUGUAUUGAUGUUCAGAUUUUACUAUGGUAUACGUUGUGGCGGAACCUAGGUAGAUUUUAGGUGUUUAAAAUAACCAUCCAUUUCUAGUUCUAUCAAAUUGUCCGUAAUUUCUCAAGUAUUCGUAUAGCUGCAGGUCUUGGUGUAAAUGAACACUUGUAUUUCGAGUAUUCUCUGCUCAUGGUUUGAGAAGGUAACAGAGUAGAGGUGUUUUCGAAUGGAUUGGUAAGAUUAUAGAUGUCAUGAGUCCAUGUCGAAGUUAAGUUUACCACACCUUUGGUCAAAGGAUGUAGCGUUCAGCUCCACCUGUCACAAGUCUUCCUUCUCUUCAAAAACAAGUUUCAUAUUAUAGCACCAGAGGUUGUUCUGUAACUGCUCUCAGCUAGAGCUUUGAACUCUUUAACUUCUUUUGGGGAGCUGACCUAACUUUUACCUUCUUUUCUGAUGCUGGACCUCCUCUAUUCAAUGAUGGGCUUUAUGACAUGCCCGUUUAUUACCAUUUCUUUGACCUAUAUUUUUGUGGUAGGUUUGGGCUCCCCUGCUUUUGUCCACGUCAUGUACUGUCCAAUAGGCAAGACCUUCAGGGUGUAGUUACUAUAUCAUCAAGAGAGACGUGUGUUACCAUGAAUGGCGUAUUUUCUGGUAAGGAGUGCCCUCUUGAUGUCGGACGUGUCAAGGACUAAGCAGAAAGUUGGUCCAUUCCAAUCCUUCCAGUGCUGUUGGAAGAGUAUGAAUUUGUGUAGAUCAUGUAGUGUCAGCAUUGCUUUUGCAAUUGACAACCAGCUUGAUUUUCUCUUGUUACGAAACUGUUCUAUUACGAAGGUGUUUGUUUCCGAAAAUAAAACUGUCACAGGCUGUCUUUUGGGACUGAAAAAUGUUUGACAUAACUUAAGUUUCAAUCUAGGAGGAGGCUUUGUAGUUGUUUGUGAAAUUGCUUUGUCAGUUCCUUGUUUGCAGGUUCUAAACUACUAUUUCUUUCAAGAUCUGUAUGUGUAGAUAGUUUUUACUGCUUGUCAUUGCCUUUUGGUUCCUUAUUGUUUAGGAUGAAUUAAAUUGCAUUCUGCUCUAACUUACCUCUCGAGUGUGUUCACUUUUAUCUACUUUCGUACGAUUUGUCAGUAGAUUAUGAACCAUUGUGACAGUGGUCAGAUGCUCAAUUCUUAAUUGGAGUUGUUGCAAGUUUGUCUUGAAUGAAGGAAUGUGUUUUGUAUGCUUGGAUCAAUACGUCUGCCUUUCCCAUAAGUCCUGAGAUUCUUUGGCCUAGGAUGCACAGGGACCAGGAGACACUCCCCCCCGCACCCUUUCCUGUCUCUAUUUAUCAUCAUUCUUGCCUCAUUCUCUUGAUUCUUGCCGUGAAUAUUCCUUGGCAGGGUUUCAAGCACCCCUCCAUCUUCAUUUGAAAUUAUAGCAACAGUAACUUUCAUAUUCUGGCUUGCAGCAUCAGGUGUGAAGGAUGAAUCGCCUAUCACGUCUCGUUCUCUUUAUUAGUUAAAUAUGUAACCUUUUCUUUGAGACAUUUGAGCUUUAUGAGAGAACUUUAGGACUUCUAUUGUUAUUCUGUUAGAGAAAGGAGGACAAGCUGACUUUGGCCAUGUCAUCUUGAAGUGACUUUGUAAUUUCUGUACUUUCUCAUCUUGAACUGUUAAACUGUAAUUUAUCCAUUAUAUCGAGAUUGAGGAUAACAUACUGAAUUCCAGCAGACUUUUUCUUCCAGUCAAAAUAGUGUCUUGUCCCUUCUGUGUCCUGAUUGGUUAAAAUCUUUUUUUAAGAUUUUUAAUGGUGAAAAGCCCCUGAUUCAUACAUUCAUCUACUUUUCUACUCGUCGCCUCGGGUAUUCCCUCUUGAAGACAAUUUUUUUGUCCAGUUACCCAAAUUUUCUCGUAUGUGAACCUACUGUCAUAGUCACCAGGUAAAACGUGACUUAUUUCACCGGUUGCAUUGAUGCUAUUCCUUUUCAAGAGUGUAAUAACAUCCUUAGGGGGUUAUCUUGGACAAGUCAUCUAGAGGCCAUUUGAGAGAGAAAUAUAGUAUCUACUUUACCGAGUUAAUUUAUAUAUACUAUAUAUAGCAUAUUCGACAGAUUUUAUCUGCAUUAAGCAGCCGAUUGGACUGGGUCUGAAAUGGCUGCUUAAAAAAAUAUAAUAAUAAUGAUGGAAUGGCUCCCAGAAAUAUGCAAGAUGUUUAAAAGUUUGAUUGUAUACAAGGCCAAACGGUCCCAGGUUAGAAUAUAGGUUGCAGUAAUGAACAAUACUAAGUACAAUUACAGCAUAGAUCGCAGAGUCCAUUUUAAAGGUAUGGUAGAGUCGAUGCCAACUUUACGAAUACCAAAGUUAUGGCAGAACGAUCACAUUUAAGGUUGUUAGAGGUCGACCAUUGGAUGAUUAAUGUUACGUCCCCCCCCCACAAAAAAAAAAAAAAUCGUUAAGUUAUACUUGAAGAUUAGUUAAAAACUUCUUAUAAAUACCCAAUUUCUACAAUAACUAGGUCGAGGUGUCUGACAAAGUCCCGUCAUAGCAAUAGUGUCACGUGCUGACGUCACUAACCCUUCGACAUUGAUUAGUUUUAAUGGCGUCAUACCUAAUGACCCCAUUCUGUAAUGACAACUUAGUUUUUUGAUAGCCAUCUGAAAUGAUCCAUUGAUGACGUCAUAUGUUAGCUGUAUGAUUUGGGAAAAUUAUAGUUGUCACUUGCUAUGAAAGCAGUUCGUGCAUUAGGUACUACAAGGCGUUGUGACGUCAUAGCUUUGAUGUUACUGUACGCAGGUAUACUAAUCCUUUUCACGUGACGUCACAUGAUUGAUGUAGGCAUUCUUUAAAAAAAAAACAUUGUAGACCAAUUGUGUAAAAGGAAAUAGACUAUGAGGUAA